ACAAGACUGACGCUCAGGUGCGAAAGCGUGGGAGCAACAGGAUAGAUACCCUGGUAGUCCACGCUGUAAACGAUGUCGAUUUGGAGGUGUUCCCUUGAGGAGUGGCUUCCGGAGCUAACGCGUUAAAUCGACCGCUGGGGAGUACGGCCGCAAGGUUAAAACUCAAAUGAAUUGACGGGGGCCCGCACAAGCGGUGGAGCAUGUGGUUUAAUUCGAUGCAACGCGAAGAACCUUACCUACUCUUGACAUCCAGAGAAUUUAGCAGAGAUGCUUUAGUGCCUUCGGGAACUCUGAGACAGGUGCUGCAUGGCUGUCGUCAGCUCGUGUUGUGAAAUGUUGGGUUAAGUCCCGCAACGAGCGCAACCCUUAUCCUUUGUUGCCAGCACAUUAUGGUGGGAACUCAAAGGAGACUGCCGGUGAUAAACCGGAGGAAGGUGGGGAUGACGUCAAGUCAUCAUGGCCCUUACGAGUAGGGCUACACACGUGCUACAAUGGCGUAUACAAAGAGAAGCGACCUCGCGAGAGCAAGCGGAACUCAUAAAGUACGUCGUAGUCCGGAUUGGAGUCUGCAACUCGACUCCAUGAAGUCGGAAUCGCUAGUAAUCGUAGAUCAGAAUGCUACGGUGAAUACGUUCCCGGGCCUUGUACACACCGCCCGUCACACCAUGGGAGUGGGUUGCAAAAGAAGUAGGUAGCUUAACCUUCGGGAGGGCGCUUACCACUUUGUGAUUCAUGACUGGGGUGAAGUCGUAACAAGGUAACCA
rnacentral:rRNA from 1 species